UACGUAGGGUGCAAGCGUUGUCCGGAAUUAUUGGGCGUAAAGAGCUCGUAGGCGGUUUGUCGCGUCGAAUGUGAAAACCCGGGGCUCAACCCCGGGCCUGCAUUCGAUACGGGCAGACUAGAGUUCGGUAGGGGAGUCUGGAAUUCCUGGUGUAGCGGUGAAAUGCGCAGAUAUCAGGAGGAACACCGGUGGCGAAGGCGGUGCUCUGGGCCAGUACUGACGCUGAGGAGCGAAAGCGUGGGUAGCAAACAGG
rnacentral:rRNA from 1 species